rnacentral:rRNA from 1 species
AGAGUUUGAUCAUGGCUCAGGAUGAACGCUAGCUACAGGCUUAACACAUGCAAGUCGAGGGGCAGCAUGUUGGUUGCUUGCAACCAAUGAUGGCGACCGGCGCACGGGUGAGUAACGCGUAUCCAACCUACCCUUGUCCACCGGAUAACCCGUCGAAAGGCGGCCUAACACGAUAUGCGGUUCUCAGCAGGCAUCUAACGAGAACGAAAUGUGAAGGAGAAGGAUGGGGAUGCGUCUGAUUAGCUUGUUGGCAGGGUAACGGCCACCAAGGCGACGAUCAGUAGGGGUUCUGAGAGGAAGGUCCCCCANAUUGGAACUGAGACACGGUCCAAACUCCUACGGGAGCA